GGUCAAGCUACAAAGGGCGCAUGGUGAAUGCCUUGGCAUCAGGAGCCGAUGAAGGACGCGAUAAGCUGCGAUAAGCUUCGGGUAGACGCACAUAGUCAGAGAUCCGAAGAUUUCCGAAUGAGGAAACUCACAUGGGAAACCCCAUGUAUCAUAAAGUGAAUACAUAGCUUUAUGAAGGUAUACCCAGGGAACUGAAACAUCUAAGUACCUGGAGGAAGAGAAAGAAAAAUCGAUUUUCUUAGUAGCGGCGAGCGAAAAGGAAAGAGCCCAAACCAGAGAUUUAUCUCUGGGGUUGCGGACAGAACAUAACGAGAAAUCAUAGUUAAUUGAACACAACUGGAAAGUUGGACCACAGUGGGUAAUAGUCCCGUAAGUGAAAACUAUGAUAAUCAGUUCUGCACCAGAGUACCACGAGACACGUGAAACCUUGUGGGAAGCAGGGAGGACCACCUCCCAAGGCUAAAUACUACCUGAUGACCGAUAGUGAAGCAGUACCGUGAGGGAAAGGUGAAAAGAACCCCGGGAGGGGAGUGAAAUAGAACCUGAAACCAUGUGCCUACAACCGAUCAGAGCACCUUAUGUGUGUGAUGAUGUGCUUUUUGUAGAACGAGCCAACGAGUUACGGUAUGUAGCGAGGUUAAGUACUUAAGGUACGGAGCCGAAGGGAAACCGAGUCUUAAUAGGGCGACUAGUUGCAUGCUGUAGACCCGAAACCGGGUGACCUAUCCAUGGCCAGGUUGAAGCGAGGGUAAAACCUCGUGGAGGACCGAACCACGUUGCUGUUGAAAAAGCAUGGGAUGAGCUGUGGAUAGCGGAGAAAUUCCAAUCGAACUCGGAUAUAGCUGGUUCUCCUCGAAAUAGCUUUAGGGCUAGCGUCGGAAAAUGUGAGUAGUGGAGGUAGAGCACUGAAUAGGCUAGGGGGCAUAGCGCUUACCGAACCUUAUCAAACUCCGAAUGCCACAUACUAUCAGUCCGGCAGUCAGACUAUGAAAGAUAAGUUCCAUGGUCAAAAGGGAAACAGCCCAGAUCGUCAGCUAAGGUCCCAAAGUGUAAGUUAAGUGGAAAAGGAUGUGGGAUUUCUAAGACAACUAGGAUGUUGGCUUAGAAGCAGCCACUCAUUAAAAGAGUGCGUAAUAGCUCACUAGUCAAGAGAUCCUGCGCCGAAAAUGUCCGGGGCUCAAACUUACCACCGAAGCUACGGGUUCACGCUUAUGCGUGAGCGGUAGAGGAGCGUCGUAAUCGGGCUGAAGUCGUACCGUAAGGAGCGGUGGACUGAUUACGAGUGAGAAUGUUGGCAUUAGUAGCGAGAUGUAGGCGAGAAUCCUACAGGCCGAAUAUCUAAGGUUUCCUGAGUAAAGUUUGUCUUCUCAGGGUUAGUCGGGACCUAAGGCGAGGCCGAAAGGCGUAGUCGAUGGACAAUUGGUUGAUAUUCCAAUACCACUAUAAUCGUUAUUAUCGAUGGUGUGACGGAGAAGGAUAGGAUGUGCUAGCUAUUGGAUGCUAGUCUAAGCGUUUAGGGAGUUGGGAUUGGCAAAUCCGUUCCAACAAUUCUGAGGCGUGAUGGGGAAGGUUCUACGGAACCGAAGUAUCUGAUUCCAUGCUUCCAAGAAAAGCAUCUAGAGAGAGAAGUAGUGCCCGUACCGCAAACCGACACAGGUAGAUGAGGAGAGAAUCCUAAGGCCGACGGAAGAAUUGCAGUUAAGGAACUAGGCAAAUUGACCCCGUAACUUCGGGAGAAGGGGUGCCUGAGAAAUCAGGCCGCAGAGAAUAGGCACAAGCAACUGUUUAACAAAAACACAGGUCUCUGCUAAAGCGAAAGCUGAUGUAUAGGGGCUGACGCCUGCCCGGUGCUGGAAGGU
rnacentral:rRNA from 1 species